rnacentral:rRNA from 1 species
CUUUUGGAGAGUUUGAUCCUGGCUCAGAACGAACGCUGGCGGCGUGGAUUAGGCAUGCAAGUCGUGCGAUCCUUAGGGAUAGCGGCAAAAGGGUGAGUAACGCGUGGAAAAUCUACCCUUAAGUAAGGAAUAACCCUUCGAAAGAAGAGCUAAUGCCUUAUAUGACCACGAAUACACAAGUAUUUGAGGUGAAAGGUGGGGACCUUCGGGCCUACC